UGCAAAUGAUGUGAACGAAUAUUUGCUAUCUUAUUGACAGUGCUGACAUCCCACCAAGAUCACUGAUGCA
ensembl:snoRNA SNORD24 Small nucleolar RNA SNORD24